AUUGUCUGUACUGGUGAGAUGAGUCUCUACCUUCUGAGGAACUUUCAUGCCAUUCGUUUGGUGUGAUGGGAAAUCAGGACUGUUACUUUGAAAAAAUUAGAGUGUUUAAAGCAGGCUAACGUCUGAAUACAUUAGCAUGGAAUAAUGAAAUAGGACGGAUUGAUUCUAUUUCGUUGGUUUCUAGGGUCACCGUAAUGAUUAAUAGGGAUAGUUGGGGGCAUUAGUAUUCAAUUGUCAGAGGUGAAAUUCUUGGAUUUAUUGAAGACUAACUACUGCGAAAGCAUUUGCCAAGGAUGUUUUCAUUAAUCAAGAACGAAAGUUAGGGGAUCGAAGACGAUCAGAUACCGUCGUAGUCUUAACCAUAAACUAUGCCGACUGGGGAUCGGACGCAGGUAAUUUUAUAAUGACGUGUUCGGCACCUUACG
rnacentral:rRNA from 1 species